CUGGCUGACCAGGCGAUCGCCGGAAUAGGGGGGUAACCCAUCUAGUUUCGGAGGAAAGUCCGGGCUCCAUAGGGCGCGGCGCUGGGUAACGCCCAGCGGAGGCGACUUCGGGCAAGCGCAACAGAAAGGAGACCGCCGAAGGGAUUCCCUUCGGUAAGGGUGAAAGGGUGAGGUAAGAGCUCACCGGCCGAGUGGGCGACCAGUCGGGCCAGGCAAGCCCCGUCGGGAGCAAGACCGAAUAGGAAGACGCGUAGGGCGGCCCGUCCUAGUCUUCGGGUUGGUCGCUGGACCGCUAGGGUAACUUAGCGGCUAGAGGAAUGAUCGCUAGGGUUCUAACUCCUAGGGUGGUUAAGAACCCACAGAACCCGGCUUAUAGGUGGCCAGUUUA
rnacentral:RNase_P_RNA from 1 species